rnacentral:rRNA from 1 species
AUUGAACGCUGGCGGCAGGCUUAACACAUGCAAGUCGAGCGAGCGGCGGACGGGUGAGUAAUGUCUGGGAAACUGCCUGAUGGAGGGGGAUAACUACUGGAAACGGUAGCUACUACCGCAUACUAUCCGCUGUGCCCAGAUGGGAUUAGCUAGUUGGUGGGGUAAUGGCUUACCUAGGCGACGAUCCCUAGCUGGUCUGAGAGGAUGAUCAGCCACACUGGAACUGAGACACGGGCCAGACUCCUACGGGAGGCAGCAGUGGGGAAUAUUGCACAAUGGGCGCAAGCCUGAUGCAGCAAUGCCGCGUGUGUGAAGAAGGCCUUCGGAUUGUAAAGCACUUUCAGCGAGGAGGCGUUACUCACAGAAGAAGCACCGGCUAACUCCGUGCCAGCAGCCGCGGUAAUAC